rnacentral:rRNA from 1 species
GACGAACGCUGGCGGCGUGCCUAAUACAUGCAAGUCGAGCGGACGGAUGGGAGCUUGCUCCCAGACCGUCAGCGGCGGCCGGGUGAGUAACACGUGGGCAACCUGCCUGUAAGACUGGGAUAACUCCGGGAAACCGGGGCUAAUACCGGAUAACUCUUUCCCUCCCAUGAGGGAAAGCUGAAAGAUGGCAUCUCGCUAUCACUUACAGAUGGGCCCGCGGCGCAUUAGCUAGUUGGUGAGGUAACGGCUCACCAAGGCGACGAUGCGUAGCCGACCUGAGAGGGUGAUCGGCCACACUGGGACUGAGACACGGCCCAGACUCCUACGGGAGGCAGCAGUAGGGAAUCUUCCGCAAUGGACGAAAGUCUGACGGAGCAACGCCGCGUGAGUGAUGAAGGUUUUCGGAUCGUAAAACUCUGUUGUCAGGGAAGAACGAGUACCGGAGUAACUGCCGGUACCGUGACGGUACCUGACCAGAAAGCCACGGCUAACUACGUG